GUCAAUGGCCAUGCCACCCUGAAUGUACCUGAUCUUGGAACCUAAGCAGGGUCAGGUCUGGUUAGUACUUGGGUGGGAGAAGUUGUGGAUGCUCAAGAUACAUGAUA
rnacentral:rRNA from 1 species